ensembl:lncRNA
CUUUGCCUUUGUGACUGCCGAUGAGAUGCGUCAGGUCGUGGGGGUGCGCCUUUGUGAGGGCAAUUAAAACUGGGAGGGAGAGGGUGAGGAGGCAAGGGCUACAGGGGCCCCCACGGGCCAGUUACUCAGCGGGAAGAAGGGCAGCACUUGCCCAGAAUCGUGCUCCCUCGCAGAACUCCCUGUAGGCAAAGCUGAUAAGCCACUACGGGCACAGCUCUGAAACUUGCAAGUUGGUUUGGCUGUGGUCAUCUGCUUGCCCAGACCCUCUGUGGAUGUGCUCCCAGGCUCCCAGUCAUGUACGGAUGUGAGAGUUGGACCAUAAAGAAGGCUGAGCACUGAAGAAAUGUUGCUUUCAAACUGUGGUGCUGGAGAAGAUUCUUGAGAAUCCCUUGGAGAGCAAGGAGAACAAACCAAUCAACCCAAAAGGAAAUUAACCCUGAAUAUUCAUUGGAAGGACUGAUGCUGAAACUCCAAUACUUUGGCCACCUGAUGCAAAGAACCUACUCAUCGGAAAAGACCCUGAUGCUGGGAAAGAUUGAAGGCAGGAGGAAAAGGGGCAACAGAGAACAAGAUGGUUGGAUGGCAUCAUGGACUCAACAGACAUGAGUUGCUCUCUAGCUGGGAAGGCCUCCUUGACUUCAAGAAUGAGGAAUAUGUAGUCUCUUAUCUCCUAUCUGGACAGGCCCAGCCUCCUCUUUCAAUUGUCCUGCUGUUAGGGGAAGCACACUGACUGGAAUCGCCCACCCUGGCCAAGCACCAUAGUAACCAUUUGCAUGAGUUGUUACAACAUGA